rnacentral:rRNA from 1 species
CUACGUGCCAGCAGCCGCGGUAAUACGGAAGGUCCAGGCGUUAUCCGGAUUUAUUGGGUUUAAAGGGAGCGUAGGCGGAUUGUUAAGUCAGCGGUUAAAGGGUGUGGCUCAACCAUGCAUUGCCGUUGAAACUGGCGAUCUUGAGUGCAGACAGGGAUGCCGGAAUUCGUGGUGUAGCGGUGAAAUGCUUAGAUAUCACGAAGAACUCCGAUCGCGAAGGCAGGUGUCCGGGCUGCAACUGACGCUGAGGCUCGAAAGUGUGGGUAUCAAACAGGAUUAGAUACCCUGGUAGUCCACACAGUAAACGAUGUAUACUCGCGGUUUGCGAUAGACAGUAAGCCGCCAAGCGAAAGCAUUAAGUAUACCACCUGGGGAGUACGCCGGCAACGGUGAAACUCAAAGGAAUUGACGGGGGCCCGCACAAGCGGAGGAACAUGUGGUUUAAUUCGAUGAUACGCGAGGAACCUUACCCGGGCUUGAAUUGCAGAGGAAGGAUUUAGAGAUA